rnacentral:rRNA from 1 species
AAUCUCAGUUCAGAUUGCAGGCUGCAACUCGCCUGCAUGAAGUCGGAAUUGCUAGUAAUCGUAGGUCAGCAUACUACGGUGAAUACGUUCCCGGGCCUUGUACACACCGCCCGUCAAACCAUGAGAGUUGGCAGCACCCGAAGUCGGUAGUCUAACCGCAAGGAGGACGCCGCCGAAGGUAAAACUGGUGAUUGGGGUGAAGUCGUAACAAGGUAGC